UUUUUUCAAAAAAGUUUCUCUUUUUCCCUCACUUUCUCUCUCUUUUCUUGUCUCCCUCUUUCUUUGUCUUCUUUCUCAUUCAUUUUCUUCUCCUUUCAUCACUUUCCAUUUCUCUUUAUCCCCUUUCAAUCAAAUUCUUCUUCCCUUUACAAAGCAAUCAUCUCCUUCUUUUCUUCUGUGUUCAUAUUUCAACACGAAAAAUAAAGUAAUGGGUAUGGAAACAAGAUGAAAAAGGUGGUAGAGAUGUCUAGAGACUGAAGGCAUCGUGUUUAUUGAUUUUGUUCUUGAUGUUGUUUGGAAAGAAGCUGAAAACAAUGAUUGCUUGCAGGGUUGGAUCUAGCCUUUAAUGUCAUGUUGUUGUUUAUUGGAAAUUGAUUUAUUCUUGUCCUUUUGAUGUGUUUUCAUCAACAACAAUUUGAUGUAACCAUUUCACUUGCUCUAACCAUUUUUCUGUCACAUAGUUUUCUGAGAAAAAUUCAUGUUUGUAGUAAUUUCUCAUCUGCAUAAAAUAUAUCUGUUACACUUUAGAAUAUAUUUCUGUCAUAAUAAAUUCAAUUUAUAAUAAUAUAUUUAUGUCACGUAACUUUUCUUUGUCAAACUUUCUCUUCACCAAAAGCAUUUUACAAUAGCUUUAAUAAGCUUCAUGUCUGAAAAGGGUUUGCAAAACUCACACAAAAUUCAAUUUCACAACAAACUGGUUUUUUAACACCUAACCACAUUACGUAUCAUGUGUGACUUUACAAUUCAUUAAAGUGAUUUGUUUGCAUUAUCAAAAUAUUACCCAAUUGGUUUUUCCUCACACUGUUAUGACCAUUGCGCAGAAAGGAAAAAUAUCUAUUAAACAAAUAAUAUUAUCCAUUUCUAUGAAAGCAGACUUCUCUGGGAACUGCAACAUAUUAGUAUAGUUUAACCGUUGGUUUCAAGAUCCAUUACAACCUGGUUAUGCAUGUGUAGCAUAUGUCAGGAUAAUGAUUAUAAUAGGAACAUAUUUUGUGAGUAAAAAAGUUGAACAUUUUUCAGUGGUCCUCACUGUUGGUAGUGAGUGAUUGUUGGGAGUACACUUCCUUCAAAGAUUUCCAUGAGACGAGCAUGUCUUUUGCAGUUGCUGACAAUUUGAAUAAGGUUGUGAAAAUACUAGAGUAAAUGAUAAUGAAAGAUUGAGAAUAUCCGUACAACGCCAAUACCAUUAAUAUCAGUUGAGAAUUAGCAUAUGCUUUACAACACAAUCAUUCUGCAAGGCAAAGCUUCAAUUCCUCAUGUGUAGACAUCUACAUCCUUGAAGUAAUGAAAUGAUUGUUAGGAUGAUGACUAUUUCGAUGUAUUAGAUUUGUUUGAAUAUUUUCUAAGGAAUUUUAUAUGAAGUACUGACUAAUAUGUUGAUGAUCGUUUGGUGAUUAUGAUGGAGUUUGUGAUGAUGAAAGUAAGAUAUGAGAAGAGUUUCAAUUUUACCUUUAUGAAAACAAUAAAACAAAAUAUCAUUGGAUUUGAGUA